CAUAUAAAUAACAUAUUUCCACUAUGCCAGGGGUGGCGAACAUCGGUCCUGGAGAGCCGCAGCCCUGCAGAGUUUUGCUUCAACCCU